GAUGAACGCUGGCGGCGUGCCUAAUACAUGCAAGUCGAGCGAACGGACGAGAAGCUUGCUUCUCUGAUGUUAGCGGCGGACGGGUGAGUAACACGUGGAUAACCUACCUAUAAGACUGGGAUAACUUCGGGAAACCGGAGCUAAUACCGGAUAAUAUUUUGAACCGCAUGGUUCAAAAGUGAAAGACGGUCUUGCUGUCACUUAUAGAUGGAUCCGCGCUGCAUUAGCUAGUUGGUAAGGUAACGGCUUACCAAGGCAACGAUGCAUAGCCGACCUGAGAGGGUGAUCGGCCACACUGGAACUGAGACACGGUCCAGACUCCUACGGGAGGCAGCAGUAGGGAAUCUUCCGCAAUGGGCGAAAGCCCGACGGAGCAACGCCGCGUGAGUGAUGAAGGUCUUCGAAUCGUAAAACUCUGUUAUUAGGGAAGAACAUAUGUGUAAGUAACUGUGCACAUCUUGACGGUACCUAAUCAGAAAGCCACGGCUAACUACGUG
rnacentral:rRNA from 1 species